GCGUUGAUUGAAUUGUUUUAUAGCUCUCAGAAAUGUGAUACUCUUUCUUUGACUAUCAUUUUAUAUAAAAUGUUUUCGUUGUAUUUUUAGCGAAAAAGUUAAAUUAGUUAUUCCGUUUCUUUCAAACUUAAACUGAAAAAAAUUAUAUACACAAAAAUAAUAAUUUAAAAAUAUGAUUUUUAGAACGAAAUUAAUUCAAACGAGUUAAAGAUGAAAUCAGAUCGAUGAAGACGAGUAUGAAGUAAAAAAGUUGGUGAAGAGCGGAACUGUCUUUCAUGAACAUUGGAUAAAAAGGAAAAUCUAUAUUUGAUACAAAUGUGCAUGUGUUCAUGGAUUGAAUAAAAUUUAAUAUAUCUGGCAAAACAGGGUAAGACUGCUGCCGUUCAAUAUCGGAAAGCAUCAUAGUUGGAUUCUAAAGGCAGAGACAAGAUAAAAUUUUCCUAGCCCGAAUAUAUAUCAGCAAUAUAUGCAGCAGGUUUUAAGGGUUUGGAAUAUGAAGCUUAUCUUAAGAAUAUUGAAGAAAUUUUUGAGCCUCAACAAAGGAUGCAAUAUAUCACAAAAUUUUGCAAUAUUAAUCUUUAAAUGGCACAUACCAGCUGAGAAAAUUCCUUAGAUCUAUGAAAUCCCUAAGACUUCAACGUGCGUUAAAUAGUUUUAUUAAGCACAUAUUGAAAUUCAAUAGCAUUUAUAAACAAAGUUCUUGCAAGUUGCUCGGUUUGGCAGACACACUCGUCUCGUCUGUCCGUCAUAACGGUUGUCGCAAAGUUACCGAAACGUAGGAGGUAAAACGAGUAAAUGCGAAAAUCUUAGAUAUCGA